AGUUAUAACAGACUCUCCAACAGGCUGUUUACAGCAUCCUGCAAUCAUAUAACUGCAAUUUACAACUUUUCUACUAGAAACUGGCAUCUAUGUUACCACAAAAAAAGUUGUAUAAUCAGAUCAAUCAUUUGAUGAUCUGCUUAAUGGCUGGCAUGAUUUAAAACUGUAAUUACAGGCUCAAUUAUGGUUGUGAGUUAUGGACUAGCUGUUCAUAAAAUCUGUUCUAGGAUAUAUAUUACAAUGAUUCUUACAUGAAAAGGUCAAGAAACAUUCUACCAAUUAUGGACAUCUAUGAUUCAAGAAAGCUCCAUUAAAGUGUGGAUUGCAUGAAUUUAUUCAUCGAAUUCUGAAUUUUGCUAGAAGGAUAAACAAUUACUUUCUGGAGGCACAUUCAAUUGUGUUUACAGUUCAUCAAACACCAAAAAUGAUUCCAAUAACAUUAUUUGCUGAAACUAUUUCACUGCAGAAACAAAAAAAUGAAAGAAUACUGAACCACGUGACAAAAGUUUACAAUGGAAAAUAAGUUUACAUCAGAG